rnacentral:lncRNA from 1 species
GCAAGCAUCACAGGCGCCCCUCCUGGAAAUUUUGUUCCUCACCAGUGAAGACAUGAAAGUUCGUCCGGAUUCAAUUCAAGAGACGGUUAAACAGAUGAACGAAAAGUUUUCUGCUGACGUGAAUGAGUUAAAGGAACAGAAGACGUGGUCACUGGGUGCCAUCAACCACAUUUACGGAGAGCUGGCCAAGGUCGAGCAUUAAUUCCGCGAGGCUGUGCGAGACUAUUUUGCUGCACGAGACGAAACCUAAACUGCCAACGGAUCUCAAAGGAGUUCCGUCUUAGAAAUGUUACAGCGCACACAGACGGGGACAAAAGCAAAAGAAAAAAAAAACAGAACACAAAUCACAAGUCUCCUCUGUUCCCGUUUGUGUGCGCUGUAAUGUUUCUGAGAUUCAAUACCAACUAGCCCACCAAGCCAUCCUCGUGAAAGGGGUUCCAGUUAGAUUGCCUGGAGCUCCACAAUUGUAAUGGAGGUUUUCUUGAAUAAAGUCCCGUGGAAGCGGGCCCUAUUUCAUUAUUUAUUUUCGUUCUUUCUACUGUCACCUACGUUUUUAUCCUCCUUUUU